CCAAGUCCCAUAUUGGCUAGAGAUAAGACAAAGAUAGAAUAUAUAAGUGGGGCGCAAUCCUCACCCGAGCUAGGUUUUGGGGUUGAGUUAUAGGGUGAGGGUUGCGCCUCACUUAUAUACUCUUUCUUGGCCUUAUCUUUAGCCAAUGUGGGACUUGG
rnacentral:pre_miRNA from 1 species